AGUCGAACGGAGAGGCCCUACUUGCAGGGUACUCGAGUGGCGAACGGGUGAGUAACACGUGGGUGAUCUGCCCUGCACUCCGGGAUAAGCCUGGGAAACUGGGUCUAAUACCGGAUAGGAGCCAUUUUUAGUGCGAUGGUUGGAGAGUUUUUUCGGUGUAGGAUGAGCUCGCGGCCUAUCAGCUUGUUGGUGGGGUAAUGGCCUACCAAGGCGGCGACGGGUAGCCGGCCUGAGAGGGUGGACGGCCACAUUGGGACUGAGAUACGGCCCAGACUCCUACGGGAGGCAGCAGUGGGGAAUAUUGCACAAUGGGCGCAAGCCUGAUGCAGCGACGCCGCGUGGGGGAUGACGGCCUUCGGGUUGUAAACUCCUUUCGCUAGGGACGAAGCUUUUUGUGACGGUACCUAGAUAAGAAGCACCGGCUAACUACGUGCCAGCAGCCGCGGUAAUACGUAGGGUGCGAGCGUUGUCCGGAAUUACUGGGCGUAAAGGGCUCGUAGGUGGUUUGUCGCGUCGUCUGUGAAAUUCCGGGGCUUAACUCCGGGCGUGCAGGCGAUACGGGCAUAACUUGAGUACUGUGGGGGGUAACUGGAAUUCCUGGUGUAGCGGUGAAAUGCGCAGAUAUCAGGAGGAACACCGAUGGGCGAAGGCRGGUUACUGGGGCAGUUACUGACGCUGAGGAGCGAAAGCAUGGGUAGCGAACAGGAUUAGAUACCCUGAUAGUCCAUGCCGUAACGGUGGGCGCUAGGUGUGAGGGUCUUUUCACGACUUUUCGUGCCGUAGCU
rnacentral:rRNA from 1 species